rnacentral:rRNA from 1 species
UACGUAGGGUGCAAGCGUUAAUCGGAAUUACUGGGCGUAAAGCGUGCGUAGGCGGCUUUGUAAGUUAGAGGUGAAAGCCCGGGGCUCAACCCCGGAACUGCCUUUAAGACUGCAUCGCUUGAACAUCGGAGAGGUGAGUGGAAUUCCGAGUGUAGAGGUGAAAUUCGUAGAUAUUCGGAAGAACACCAGUGGCGAAGGCGGCUCACUGGACGAUUGUUGACGCUGAGGUGCGAAAGCGUGGGGAGCAAACAGG